rnacentral:rRNA from 1 species
UACGAAGGGGGCUAGCGUUGCUCGGAAUCACUGGGCGUAAAGGGUGCGUAGGCGGGUCUUUAAGUCAGGGGUGAAAUCCUGGAGCUCAACUCCAGAACUGCCUUUGAUACUGAAGAUCUUGAGUUCGGGAGAGGUGAGUGGAACUGCGAGUGUAGAGGUGAAAUUCGUAGAUAUUCGCAAGAACACCAGUGGCGAAGGCGGACUCACUGGCCCGAUACUGACGCUGAUGCACGA